AGCGAACGCUGGCGGCAGGCCUAACACAUGCCAGUCGAACGAACCUUUCGGGGUUAGUGGCGGACGGGUGAGUAACACGUGGGAACGUGCCUUUAGGUUCGGAAUAACUCAGGGAAACUUGUGCUAAUACCGAAUGUGCCCUUCGGGGGAAAGAUUAAUCGCCUUUAGAGCGGCCCGCGUCUGAUUAGCUAGUUGGUUGAGGUAAUGGCUCACCAAGGCGACGAUCAGUAGCUGGUCUGAGAGGAUGAUCAGCCACAUUGGGACUGAGACACGGCCCAAACUCCUACGGGAGGCAGCAGUGGGGAAUCUUGCGCAAUGGGCGAAAGCCUGACGCAGCCAUGCCGCGUGAAUGAUGAAGGUCUUAGGAUUGUAAAACUCUUUCACCGGGGACGAUAAUGACGGUACCCGGAGAAGAAGCCCCGGCUAACUUCGUG
rnacentral:rRNA from 1 species